rnacentral:rRNA from 1 species
UGGGGAAUAUUGGACAAUGGGCGAAAGCCUGAUCCAGCCAUGCCGCGUGAGUGACGAAGGCCUUAGGGUUGUAAAACUCUUUCGUCGGGGACGAUAAUGACGGUACCCGAAGAAGAAGCUCCGGCUAACUUCGUGCCAGCAGCCGCGGUAAUACGUAGGGACCAAGCGUUGUUCGGAUUUACUGGGCGUAAAGGGCGCGUAGGCGGCAUGACAAGUCACUUGUGAAAUCUCUGGGCUUAACCCAGAACGGCCAAGUGAUACUGUCGCGCUAGAGUGCAGAAGGGGCAAUCGGAAUUCUUGGUGUAGCGGUGAAAUGCGUAGAUAUCAAGAGGAACACCUGAGGUGAAGACGGGUUGCUGGGCUGACACUGACGCUGAGGCGCGAAAGCCAGGGGACCAAACGGGAUUAGAUACCCUGGUAGUCCCUGAGCGGGCUGGCAAGGCGCAU